rnacentral:rRNA from 1 species
AUAAUGGGUCAGCGACUUAUAUUCUGUAGCAAGGUUAACCGAAUAGGGGAGCCGAAGGGAAACCGAGUCUUAACUGGGCGUUAAGUUGCAGGGUAUAGACCCGAAACCCGGUGAUCUAGCCAUGGGCAGGUUGAAGGUUGGGUAACACUAACUGGAGGACCGAACCGACUAAUGUUGAAAAAUUAGCGGAUGACUUGUGGCUGGGGGUGAAAGGCCAAUCAAACCGGGAGAUAGCUGGUUCUCCCCGAAAGCUAUUUAGGUAGCGCCUCGUGAAUUCAUCUCCGGGGGUAGAGCACUGUUUCGGCAAGGGGGUCAUCCCGACUUACCAACCCGAUGCAAACUGCGAAUACCGGAGAAUGUUAUCACGGGAGACACACGGCGGGUGCUAACGUCCGUCGUGAAGAGGGAAACAACCCAGACCGCCAGCUAAGGUCCCAAAGUCAUGGUUAAGUGGGAAACGAUGUGGGAAGGCCCAGACAGCCAGGAUGUUGGCUUAGAAGCAGCCAUCAUUUAAAGAAAGCGUAAUAGCUCACUGGUCGAGUCGGCCUGCGCGGAAGAUGUAACGGGGCUAAACCAUGCACCGAAGCUGCGGCAGCGACGCUUAUGCGUUGUUGGGUAGGGGAGCGUUCUGUAAGCCUGCGAAGGUGUGCUGUGAGGCAUGCUGGAGGUAUCAGAAGUGCGAAUGCUGACAUAAGUAACGAUAAAGCGGGUGAAAAGCCCGCUCGCCGGAAGACCAAGGGUUCCUGUCCAACGUUAAUCGGGGCAGGGUGAGUCGACCCCUAAGGCGAGGCCGAAAGGCGUAGUCGAUGGGAAACAGGUUAAUAUUCCUGUACUUGGUGUUACUGCGAAGGGGGGACGGAGAAGGCUAUGUUGGCCGGGCGACGGUUGUCCCGGUUUAAGCGUGUAGGCUGGUUUUCCAGGCAAAUCCGGAAAAUCAAGGCUGAGGCGUGAUGACGAGGCACUACGGUGCUGAAGCAACAAAUGCCCUGCUUCCAGGAAAAGCCUCUAAGCAUCAGGUAACAUCAAAUCGUACCCCAAACCGACACAGGUGGUCAGGUAGAGAAUACCAAGGCGCUUGAGAGAACUCGGGUGAAGGAACUAGGCAAAAUGGUGCCGUAACUUCGGGAGAAGGCACGCUGAUAUGUAGGUGAAGUCCCUUGCGGAUGGAGCUGAAAUCAGUCGAAGAUACCAGCUGGCUGCAACUGUUUAUUAAAAACACAGCACUGUGCAAACACGAAAGUGGACGUAUACGGUGUGACGCCUGCCCGGUGC